AGAUGUGACAGCUGCAACAUCUGACACCCCACUGAUCAGCAGGACUGAUUCAGCUGAUUGCCUGGCUAGGUAGGUGCCCCCUCUCUUCCUCACCACUCCGUGUGCAUCUCUCCUGAAGAUGCACGGCCAGCUGGAGAGGCCACCCCCCCGCCCAUAGAGGAGGCCCAUUUCCUCAAGUAAGGGUUUAGAAGUAGCUGUGCUCUCCUACUAGAACUUCCUAAUUAUUAGAAGUUACCAAGCGAGAGGGAACAGCAAGAUAGCCUGUGAGGUCCUAAGACAGACUAUAACAGUCAUCAAAAGCACAAAUUAAUUUUAGCAUACUGCU
rnacentral:snRNA from 1 species